UCUUCCCUCUGUCGGCGUGCCUAAUACAUGCAAGUCGAGCGAACAGAUAAGGAGCUUGCUCCUUUGACGUUAGCGGCGGACGGGUGAGUAACACGUGGGUAACCUACCUAUAAGACUGGAAUAACUCCGGGAAACCGGGGCUAAUGCCGGAUAACAUUUAGAACCGCAUGGUUCUAAAGUGAAAGAUGGUUUUGCUAUCACUUAUAGAUGGACCCGCGCCGUAUUAGCUAGUUGGUAAGGUAACGGCUUACCAAGGCAACGAUACGUAGCCGACCUGAGAGGGUGAUCGGCCACACUGGAACUGAGACACGGUCCAGACUCCUACGGGAGGCAGCAGUAGGGAAUCUUCCGCAAUGGGCGAAAGCCUGACGGAGCAACGCCGCGUGAGUGAUGAAGGUCUUCGGAUCGUAAAACUCUGUUAUUAGGGAAGAACAAAUGUGUAAGUAACUGUGCACGUCUUGACGGUACCUAAUCAGAAAGCCACGGCUAACUACGUG
rnacentral:rRNA from 1 species